CCCAAACCGACCUAGUACCCACUUAACCUACCCGUCUGUUGCACUAGAGAAACGGCUAAAUUUUACAUGUUCAGAAACAUCUUCUUCUUCGCAGCACCGACGUGGGAACCAGAAUUCUGUGCGGUGGUGGCGCCUAGUGGAUGGCUCGGAGACUAAAUUUUAUGGAGCCUCCAGUGUAACCCAUCUAGUUACCGCCCCAACAGUUGGGUUGUCUCCGUCGAUAUCCACCAUUGCCCAGAAAGUCCAAUUCACAACGCCCAGGAGCCCUUGCCUGUUUUACCGCAGCCAAUUCCUCCAGUAUCUUCUUCUACCGCCCGUCCUUUCCUUGUAUCUCAUGUUUUAAUCUCAACCCCACCUGUGAAGAUAUGGAUGAAACUCAAACAUGGACAUUUGCCCGUGAGACCGCAUCGCCAUUAGAUGCAUGCGGGUUCUCUGCCUCAGAUCAUAAUGAUCUGGAUUUAACUCAUGUUUUGCUGCCUCAAGACCGGUGGUUGAAAGCUCCAGGUCGAAUGUAACAUUUCUGAUUCCGCAGCUUUUGCCACUGCAUGAGCAAGCCGAUUUCUAUUUUUGGGAGUCCAAGUCAUUCCUUUUUCAGCUAUUGCACCUGUCUCAUUCUCCUUUCGAAAGGCAGCAUUAACAUUUGCUUUCAGCCAAUUUUCAGGAGGAGGUCUCCAUGUCACCGGGUAAGUUCUGCUCCUAUUGGCUUCUCUUUUUUGUGUCUGUUGUUUUUCUGCUAGUUUUCCAUAAACUAUCUCUAGUGUUCUUGCUCUGCUGAUUGUCUAACUUGGAUUCACUUCCUGUUGUUGAAAUAGUCUAUUAUUCAUGGUUUUCCAUAUCUCCCACAAGAGAAAUCCCAGCUUACUAAUCAUUUUCUCCUGGUCUUCUCCGCCUCCUUGUAUUAUCUUUCUUAUACACUUUACCAUCCAACUCCCAAUCGAGUUCACUGUCUCCGGUGUUGGGGUCCAUUGGCAUUCCGCUCCGAACCAUGUUGCUCUCGCCCAAUCACAUAGUAGUAAGGCAUGUUCAACAGUCUCCAUCCCUUUUAAGCAUAUCUGACACAAUGGAUCUGGUGCCAUCCUCCUUUUACACAAAUUUGAGCCCACUGGUAAUAUGUCCUGGCAAGCUUUCCAUAAAAACAUUUUGAUUUUCUGCGGAACCUCCAUUCUCCAAAUCUCCUUCCAAAUCUCCCUUUUGUCUUCGCUUGUUGAUGGAUUUCCAUUUUUCAAAUCCUGCUCUAUUUUUUUAGCAACAUAAUAUCCAGUUCUUAUGGAAUAACUCCCAUCCUCCUUCCAUGGCCAGUAUGAGUAGUCAUCUCUAUUCACUACACUAACGGGAGUGCUAAGAAUCUCUUUGCAGACUUUCUGGGGAAAUUUGUUUACAAUUAUUUCUCUGUCCACCCUUCCCCCUCUUUAAUGAGAUCUUUUACCUUCGAAUCAUCUGUACUGUUUGCAUCCAGGGGCUUGCUUCUCCCAGUGAUCCAAUUGUCUUUCCA